AUCGAGCCUAAGCCAGUCUUUUGGAAGACAAGAAGCAAUGAUGUCCUGAUUUGCUGAGGUUUGUUUUGUGGCCUAACAUCUGAUCUACCCUGAAGACACUUCCAUGUGCUGAUGAGGAGAAUGCAUACUCUUCAGCUGUUGAGUGGGAUGUUCUGUGACUAUCUGCAUGAACUUUUUGAUGUACAAUGAAUGUAUGAAGAAAAGAAUGUUAAUGGAAUUAGUUUUUACUGCUAAAGGAUCUAGUUUGAGGCACUAAGAAGGAUAAGACAUCAAUUUGAAAAGAAGUCCUAUGAGAGCAACAAGAAUUCUGCUAAAAUUGAAGCAAAAAUACACAUCAAAUUUAUGAUGAAGCUAAAAUGGAAGAAUGGUGAAAUAAUUGAAACUUUACUAAAAACUUAUAGGUACAAUGGCCCAAAGAAAUCAAGUAUUUGCAAAUGGAUAACUUGUUUCAAGAAGGAAUUAGAUGAUGUUGAAGAAGACGCCCGCAAUGGCAGACCAUCCAUAUCAAUUUGUGAGCAAAAAAUUCAUGUUGUUCAGCCCUAAUUGAAGUGGACUGAUUAUUAACCGCACAAACAAUAGUCAACACUGUAAGCAUCUCAAGUGGUUCAGCUUACACAACUCCGACUGAAAAAUUAAAGUUGAGCAAUCAUAUUGCCCAAUGGGUGUCAAAACCAUUGUGCCCAGAUCAGCUGCAGAUGAGAGCAGAGCUUUCAAUGGCAAUUUUAAACAAGUAUAUAUUAGUAGGUUAUUGCAUUACUGUAAAGCAAUACCUG